rnacentral:rRNA from 1 species
AUUGAACGCUGGCGGCAGGCCUAACACAUGCAAGUCGAGCGGAGCGGCGGACGGGUGAGUAAUGCCUAGGAAUCUGCCUGGGAGUGGGGGAUAAGGUCCGGAAACGGGGGCUAAUACCGCAUACUAUCAGAUGAGCCUAGGUUGGAUUAGCUAGUUGGAGGGGUAAAGGCCUACCAAGGCGACGAUCCGUAACUGGUCUGAGAGGAUGAUCAGUCACACUGGGACUGAGACACGUUCCAGACUCCUACGUGAGGCAGUAGUGGGGAAUAUUGCACAAUGGGCGAAAGCCUGAUCCAGCCAUGCCGCGUGUGUGAAGAAGGUCUUCGGAUUGUAAAGCACUUUAGGUUGGGAGGCUUUACCAACCGAGUAAGCACCGGCUAACUUCGUGCCAGCAGCCGCGGUAAUUC